GCUGGGCAUGGUGGCACAUGCCUGUAAUCCCAGUGGCUCAGGAGGCUGAGGCAGGAGGAUCAAAGGUUCAAGGCCAGACUCAGCAAAAGCGAGGCACUAAUCAACUCGGUGAAACCCUGACUCUA
rnacentral:sRNA from 1 species